UACGGAGGGGGCUAGCGUUGUUCGGAAUUACUGGGCGUAAAGAGUGUGUAGGCGGUGCUCUAAGUCUGUUGUGAAAUCUCCCGGCUUAACCGGGAGGGUGCGGCGGAAACUGGAGUGCUUGAGGGUGGGAGAGGUAAGCGGAAUUCCUGGUGUAGCGGUGAAAUGCGUAGAUAUCAGGAGGAACACCUGUGGUGUAGACAGCUUACUGGACCACUUCUGACGCUGAGACACGAAAGCGUGGGUAGCAAACAGG
rnacentral:rRNA from 1 species